rnacentral:rRNA from 1 species
AUUGAACGCUUGCGGCAGGCCUAACACAUGCAAGUCGAACGAGCGGCGGACGGGUGAGUAAUGUAUGGGGACUGCCCGAUAGAGGGGGAUAACUACUGGAAACGGUAGCUAAUACCGCAUACUAUCGGAUAACCUAUAUGGGAUUAGCUAGUAGGUGAGGUAAUGGCUCACCUAGGCAACGAUCCCUAGCUGGUCUGAGAGGAUUAUCAGCCACACAGGUACGGAGACGCGGCCCAAACUCCUUCGGAGGCACAUGUGGAGAAUAUUGCACAAUGGGCGCAAGCCUGAUGCAGCCAUGCCGCGUGUAUGAAGAAGGCCCUAGGGUUGUAGAGUACUUUCAGUCGGGAGGCGUUACCGUCAGAAGAAGCACCGGCUAACUCCGUACCAGCAGCCGCGGUAAUUC